AACUGUGGAUGUUGCCGCACCAUUGCGUUCCCCUGGCCCAAAAUCAAGCUAAAAUCCGUUCGAAUCUAUACGAGCAUCCUCAAUUAUGAUACGACAUUCCAUCAAAUCCGUUUCUGUCAAACAAACUUUGCUUCGUUCCGGACGGCCGCACGCGGGUAGCUCCCGUAGUGACCAGGGCUUGAUUCUGCUUACCAGUGGCCCGCAACUCCAACGUGCCAUAGAUACGCUUCAGCCUAAAAUAUUAGUUGGAGAUCGUGGCAUCCAGCGUAGAUUCGCUUGAAUCUCUAAAUUAUCCACAAAUGCUGAUCCGCACCCAAACCAGGUAGCUACCGCACGCCCGAUUUAGUCACUCUCGGGCCAGACUGAGAUGGCGAACCUCUUUCCAGUAAACCUUCCUCCAAUUGGUGCGAACUAGUCUGCGUUUCCGAUACAGAUAAUCGGUACAGAUGAUCCCUUCAUGUUCGAGUUCUCAUAUCUACAUUAUUGACCUAUUACCAAGCCCAAGAACAUCUUAAAGCGGUCCGGAAGGCGGAAAGUGAUAAAUCCAAAUGAUGAUUCAACAUUCGGUUGAAGAUAUCAUUCGGUGUUGACCUCUCAAGGCUUGGUUUCAGCCCUUCGUACCCAAGAGAAUUUCCGGCCAUUAGGAGGUUAAUUUCAUUGCGCACAUUGCGUUACUCCAGCCCCAUGGACACUUGAGAUGUCCUUAUCCCUUUUCAUGUUCUGGGACUACCAGAUAUCAACCGCUGUGCGCUUUUAAACGCAGGGCAAAGCAUAGAAUGUCAUAGCAGACUUUCACUACUCCAACAAGGUGAAAAUACAAUGUUCAAACGCAAGCCUCAAUUUUCUUUGAAAAAAAAAAAAAAAAAAAAAAACGUGGCUUCUCCCGUCAAUAGAACUCAAUACUCUGAUCUUUCUAAGAUCGGGCAUUUUGUUUGAAUGUAUCUAGAUGCCUGCAAAGGACUUGGGACAGCUAGUUUGCUACUGUUGGCUUCUUUCGCUCUUCCGCGAAUGAAUCAGAGGACUUCAUUGAGUCCAAUUUUUAUAUGAAUGAAUCCCUGAUUAAAUUUGUGAUUGUCGUCCGGACAUCGAUAAUCGACUACCAGCACUCGCACGCACGAAUCUUACUUGAACGCAUAAAGAUUUCCAUCACCCGCACCAGUUAGCAUCUAGCGUACCUUGGCUCGCAUCCCACAUUCGUGGCGCUCAAUUGUGCAACGACCAAAGGUGGACCUUUGGCAUGCUGAUCCCCCAGUGUCCCUGUAUGUCACUUGCUAGUGCUGGACGCCACAACAAAACUGACCAAUUUGCCUUUUACACAUGGGACUCGAGACGAUUGGUGUGGAACGAAAUGCUGGGACUGAGUGAAAAGGCUAGUGGAUUUGAGUACCAAAAUUAAUGCAAUCCAUACCAAAAUGCUGCUUUACAUUGCUCCUCCUCUGAUUCGUGUGGCUGAAAACCAUGCCGUGAUUCCGCUGCUCUGACCUCUCGAAAUCCUUUCCUUUUUCCAAUUGUUUUCCCUAAAUGUCCAAUCAUCUUUGUUGAUUUGGAUUUAUUUCCCUGCCGUGGCCGUCCUCAGAAUUCAGGGAACACACAUCAACUGCAAACCUCCCUGCUUUGAGUUGUGUAUCUCCUAUCUUUAUGCAAAGGAGCCUUACUGACUCUCCACUUUUGAGCGGCAGAGAAUACUUCUAAAUUGAUUCCUGAUGCAUUUUCCUUUUGAGACUAGCUUAUUGGCCCUCACUCUUUGUUGCACAUUCACGAUUCAUGAUGCCCCUAUGAAGCUGACAAGUCAAGUACUCUAGGUCAAUGUUUAGGAGUAUCAGAAGCUCUUGGGGAAUAUGCUUGCUAUGUGUGCACAGCAUAUAUACAGUACAACACUCCAUUCUCAUGUGUUUCAUUCAACACUAGGUCAAAUCAGCGUUACAAACCUUUUUCUACAAAAGCUGCUACGAUUGUCAGUCAAUGGACGGAAAUCCGCCAAAACCUGGAAUAACUAGUCAACGCAAAUUUCAGGGCGGAAGAAUGAGAGGAAGAAUAUGAGGUCUUGACGGUAAAGCCGCGAUAACCCUAAUUCGAACAGUUUCCUGCAUUUCGGCGGCAAGCCUCUGCACGUACCAUGCCAUGACCCAGAGACCAAUGAUCCCACCUCUGCAGGAAUGAUGCAUGGAAGUUUAGCUCCCGCAUCCACGGAUAGACUCGAAACAUUAAUUCAUAUCAGAUCUGCCACUGAUACCUCACUCCCUGAAACAUGACCAAUUGGACCACUACAUACCAUUAAGGCGAAAUUAUGGGACAACGGAAAAUAGCGAAGAACUCGGGAUAUCCCCCACGACAUGCGCACGUACUUGGUGGAGUCCUGGAUCUGUAGCUAUGCCCAAGCCACCGUUAACGCCUAUCGUAGUUGGUGUGGGGUAGCGCUGGAAGUUGAAGACCUUUCCGAUGGAAUUCUGCCAGAGAACUUGCAUCAACCUUAAGGUUUACUUACGGAAAUCUUUUUUGCUUUCCCCGGUGCGUCCGACUAGGCAACGCAAGCCGCAUGGUCCGCGACAAUAAGGCUUUCGCACGGGCAUUGAACACGCUGCACACUGCGCGAAAACGUAUUUUUCUGACAGCCCUAAGAAACCAUUUUCGUCGUUGACAAAUCGAGCCCUGCCCAGGAGGAACCCAUUCUUCUGCUGAUAUAAUGUGUUGCGUACUUCAUCAAUAUUCCUGCAAAGCAUCAUCUCACACGUCAUAACUCAAUUUGACUGGCAUAUCGCUCAGUCCCAGGCGACCGUCGUCAUUAUAUACUGAAGAGGGUUGCUGUCUGGAAUGACAAUGACUGAGAUUAUGAGCGGGGAAGCUGGAGGUGUGUUGGAUGUACCAGGACUUUAUGCUAUCCAGAGCACUGUGUGCAUGUAACGUACAGUGGUAUAUCUACACUUUCCGUACAUUACAUACAUAAUUCAUCCAAUGAGAAAUCCAGUAUAUAUUAUCUAUCCAAUUCUAAUCAAUAAAAAAUAUAUUUCUACCAAUACACAUAUGUUUGCUUCCACAGCGCGGGCCGCGGCCAGGCUUUACCCCAUGCAUGACAUUCGCAUUCAAGGCUGGAAAACGCUUAUGCGGGGCUCUUAUCUCGCCCUGCAGCAAUCCCUUUACGGUUAGUAAAUAAAACCUCCGUCAGGCGUAUUAUCCCUAGAAGGGAAGUUCGUCUGGAUAGAUCGAUCAAAAAGGAGACAUACAUUAAAGCUUGAGUUGUGACGUACUUACUAUAUGAACAGGGUUUAACAGCGAUGAAGAAAAAGGUGAAGGGAAGUAAUAACUGCCGAAUGAUAAAGCCGGACACAGGCAUGGUUAUUAGGCUAAACCAACAAAAGGAAGGACAGAAGUGGAAUCAUGCGAAAGAUAGAAAAGAGAAGAGAGAAAAAGGGAAACAAAUAUAAAUUGAAAAAUUCCGAAUAAACCCAACCAUAUUAAAAAUCGAAAAAAGGAAAAAAAAAAAUUUUUUUUUCUCUCCACCCCGAGGCCUGCCCAUUGGUAAGCAGGAAGCAAGGGGAAAGAUGAGGGCGGGAAAAGAAAGAAAAACAAAGAUAACACCUGGGAAAGAUAGAUGAACCUUUUGUUUUAGGUUAUUGGGCAAGCCAGGUAUUGCAACAAAAGCCAUACGUAGUAGUUCAUCUAGGUCAUCUGCCUAAUUAACACAAGUAAAUUACGAAAGAAAUUAAGGAGGAAAAGGAAGAGAGCGAAAUACAGUAUAGGAAGUUAAUGGCAGAUGGGGAACUAGAGGGCGGCUAUGUUGGGAAGGUGGUGAUCAUAAAGGUGGGUGGGGGAUUGGAGGAUAAGGAGGUGAGAAAGAAUGGGUAAGAAUAGGGAAGGCCAGAUGCCCCAAGCAAAAAUUCUUUCAGAUUGCGCCCAGCACAAGCUAAGAUAGCAGAAAAUCAAAGACAGAAUGAGAAGAAUAAUGAGAAUCCAUUUAUUUAGCAAUACUGUUACUCAUCAUGCCUUGCUGCUGCUGCUGUUGCUGUUGAUGCUGGAUAGCCUGAGCCUGUGCCUGUGCCUGUGCCUGUGCCUGUGCCUGUGCCUGUGCCUGUGCCUGUGCCUGUGCCUGUGCCUGCGCCUGUGCCUGCGCUUGUUGGGCCCGUUGUUGACCCUCCCUUUUCAUAAAGUCAAACAAAUAUUGUUUGGCGAUUUUCUCUACUUGUUCUUGGAACUGCUGGCGAACGGCAUCGUGCCAGCCGGACGGAUGACCAAAUUGCUGUAUGAGUUUCGCGCGUACCUCGUUUUGAGCUUGUGGUAGCAUGCGCUGCGUGUAGAGUAACCGGUAGCGAGGUGGAAGUGCUCCUUGGCCUUGCCCAACUACACCACUUGCUUGCGGCAUCGCUUGCUGCGGUGGGAGUUGUUGCGGGCUCCCUUGCUGUUGGCCGUGAGGAGCUUGGGCCUGUGACAUUUGCAGCUGUGCCAACUGAGAUCGCAUGACAUGUGCCUGAUAAGCAGCUGCAUUUGGGAACUGGUUCUGUUGCACCUGCUGCGGUUGGGUUUGCUGUUGUUGAGCUUGCUGUUGGGUUUGCUGCUGCUGUUGCGCCUGCGUCUGCGCCUGUUGCUGCAUAAAUAUAUUUGGGUGUUGUUGAGGCUGGGCAUGCUGAAUACUUUGCUGUGCGUGCAAAUUGGCCUGGAGCUGAAGCUGUGCCAUCUGCUGAGGCGUGAACUGUUGAGCGCCGGCCUGGGCUUGCAAAUUUCGCUGCAUAAUGAGUUGCUGCCUCUGCUGCAGGAUAGCUUGCUGCUGUUGUUGCGGGGUCAUCAUCACACCAUUCAUCUGGGGAUUGGCCAUUAUGGGAUGGUUCAUAACAGGGGUCUGAGCCAUGGUAGAAGCGCUGGGACUUGCAUGUGUCAUUCUCUGCGUGGGAGUCGCGUUGCGCAUUAUUGGUGUGCCAUGUGGUAUAGCAGGGGUCCCUUGCCCCAUUUGUGGAGUACCAUGUCUGCUCUGACCCUGUUGGCUUCGUGUAUUAACCAUCGGAUGUGCCAUAACAGCUGGAUGGCUAUGCUGUACACCUGAUGUAACUUGAAGUGGACUUCCCACUCCUUGUGAGGAACCUGUUAUAGCCAUUGGAACUCCUUGGUUCAUCUGAGGUCCCAUCAAAUUUCCUGUCAAAGGUGACGAGCUAUGAGGCGUUACAUUCCGGACUGGUGG
rnacentral:sRNA from 1 species